CCUUUAAAUCUCGCCUUUGGGGAUGCAGGUACUUUUUGGUGGUGCAUGAUUCACUGUUUUCAAUCGUGAGAACUGAGUUCCAGUCAUAAACAACAGCUCUAAAUAUAUCAAACCAGCUUUGUUUGUGUCUGUUGGCCCCAGCUGACUGCCAAAUUUGGAGAGACUGAACUCCAACUUCUCUAAGUCCUGCAAACCCGAGGAAAAUCUCUCAAACUGUGGUGAAAACAAACACAACUGUGCCUUGUGUGAUCAGGUAUUAAAAGUCACUUCAUCCUAAACUAUUGUUGUCUUCUGCUUUCCCUUUAUUGUGCACACAGGUGUGUUUGUAGAUGACCUUAGUACACGUGUAUUUCAAGUGUGUGGCUGUGAACAAGCGGUGCAUGCUCAAGAAGCAAUGGCAAUAAUUUGGGAGCUAAUGAAGUGUGAUUGAUUGGGAGUGAUUGUUUUAUUUAAAUUCGAAGAUAAUUUAAUUGUUCAAGGUGACUUUGGUCCGAAGAUGAAGGCGUACUCUGCUAAUUGAAGGCUUUUCACGAUGGGCUUCUUAGCGCUGUUCAGAGCCCCAGAGAGAAAGGCUUCUCAGAAUUAAAUCUUCUAACAGCAGUCUCUUUAUUUAUAGUCUUGUAGCAAAGAGAGAGAAAAACAUGUUUACAAUCUCAGCAGCCUGCGCCGUAGAUGACACCCCGUUCGCUACAUUUCUGAGUGGAGUAAACAAAACAUGCACUGUCGCAGAAAACAAUCCCUGAUGGUGAAUAAUUGGUUUAAUACAUUGUGGUGGACGGUGGAGCUGUCCUUGUGUUUGUCCAGGCUGAGCUGGGUGCACCUCAUCGUCCUCAUCUCUCAGUGCCCUGCUGCUUCGCCCAAGUCACAAGAGUAGAGGACAAAAUCAAAAUAAUGAUGCCGCGUGCGCCUAACAGCACCACCAAUCUCAUCUCACGCACACAUGCACACACGUGGUGAUGCAUAACCUCCAUUUAAAGCAAUUUGUUGUUGGAGAAUUGACAACAACUUCCAUGUGUGCCGUGAAAACGGGAAAGUUUCAUCAAAGUGGCUGAUCAUUAAAAGUGAAUAAUUUAAGAACCAGGAAGUACACUUGGAGCUGUGCUGCCCUUAUUUACCCAUCCUAUUAAUACACCCUCAUCUCUAUUUAAAAAAUGACCCCUGCCGUAAGACGGAGAGCCUGCCGGCUGCUUGUGUCACCUCGCCCAGCUCCCACCUAGGACUGAUGAAGUUUUAAAUUAUGUCCUCAUAAUUAAAAAGGUUCACAGUGGCGGUUUUUGUCCCGCAGCGUGAGCAAAAGACGGAGCUGAGGAGACGGUCAGGAAUAAAUCAAGAGUGCUGGAGGUCAGAGCGACCGCAGAAUAGUAGCACCUCCAUGAUAGAUACCCCCUUGUUAAGACAGGCUUAAAUGAAGCAGAAAGAUGUGUGCUGAAGAUAAUGACUGUUAUUAUGGAAGUGUUGAGUGAGCCAAGUGGGGAGAUGCACUUGAUGUCAAUGAGCUGAGAGAUUUUAGAAAGACCUGCUUAACACGCAGCUUCCUGCUGCAGGAAGUACAAAGCGUGAUGAUGGGGGAGAGUAAGUGGAACCUCCCACACUCUCCCUCCCUUAGCUCAGCUUAGAAGUCGGCCUUAAUUAGGACAAUGACAAUAUGUCCGAUUCAUUUAGCUAAGGUCUAAGUUUCAGGAGUAAACAGAAGUAAAAAGUUUUACACCAAAAGACAAAACUUUAAAGAGCUUUAACUUUUCAAACAUGGGACUGUGGUUGGUCAUGUUUGUCCACUUCAACUAUAAAAGUAGUUUUGUAGUCAAAUAAUAAAACAUGUUAGAGUUUCUUUAAAUGUGGUCUUUUUUUUCUAACCCUCCUCCUGUGUUAGGGUCUGCACCGACCCGUUUCUGAUUUUAAAUGCUUAAAGAACCACUUAAAUUAGUUUUUUUACAUCAAGACUUUUCGACUUUGUCAGGAACCUCUAUUUCAACAAAAAAAAGAAAAAAGAAAAAAAUUACAUUGACUUAAUUAUAAAAUGCUCUUAUUAAAAUUAUGGCACUUGUGUUAGGGUCGCUGUUGACCUUAGGGAAUUCUCA
rnacentral:lncRNA from 1 species